rnacentral:lncRNA from 1 species
GUGGUGCAGAGAUCCGUGAGCUUGCUUUUACAGGACUUUAAUGAUAUAUAAAAGCAGCACGAGGUGCUCCUGACUGUGGAUUAAUUUGGAGAUGACUUUCUCUGUUGAAGAGUAGCAAGACUCUCGCGAGUUCUUAAAAAUGCACUUGUUUGGUAUGAGAAUGAAAAGCAGUGGCUGAAGAACCAAUCUUCAAUGGGCAAGCCUUCUCUGUGUCUGUUCUAACACGUGCCAUUUGGGAUCCCUUGGAAUCUUCAUGUACAGAACUGGUUGCUGCCUCGUUGAGUCGGUGGGGACAGAAUAGCUCCUGGUUGACAGCAUGGGUUGUGCAGAAGGACGGAUCCUGCAGACAUCAAUAUCUGGCUUUGAGUGGCACAAAGAAAUAAAGGAAUGUGGAUUCAGACCUCACUGGGAUGCUUGGCAAUUCUAAUUCUACCCCAGACUGCAAAUGGACACACAACUGUUGUGACUUUUGUUGAAGAGGAGAAGGAUGGCACAGAAGCUGGAUUCAGAAGCACACAGGUCUGGGGAUGCAGGCUUCGGCCAGCCUGAUGCAAGGAAAGACUGCCAUCUCGUGGUCAGCUCAAUCCUGGCACCUUGGUGAGGGACCAGGCUGCAGAAAACCAGGCUUGGGGAGGAAACGGUGCUGCAAACUGGAUUUCUGCCGGACAGUGUGGAUGCCCUUAGAAAACACCCAGAAAAGAGCUGAGUGCCCCCCAAGACUUGCCCUGAAUUCUUUCAUGUGCAAUAUCCGAAAACCCUCUCUUGGGGCCUGGAUCAGGACCCCUUUCCUAUAACAUCUUUCUGGCGACAACAAAGGGACAAUGGUGUGGAAUCCCCCUUCCCAAAUGCUACUUUUAGGCUGUUUCCCAUAUAAGGUUCAUGACCCCCAGUGAGGAUGAAACUGCCUGCAAGGUUUGUCUUCUCUCCUGUUCACUGGUUACUCAGCCAGGCUGAUUCAUGGGCUUCUCAAAGGAGCUUGUUUAUCAGAAGCUUGUCUAAGACACCACGUCUUCCAGAAAAUCUCACCUGAGUCACCAACAGAUUCCUCUAAGAGUCUGUAAGCCACUCCUGACCAGCAGGAAACCCCAACAGAGGCAAAGAAUAGGAAAUUAAAUAUUUCGUCAAGAAAAAAUGAGAGGCUGGGUGCGGUGGCUCAUGCCUAUAUCCCAGCACUUUAGGAGGCCUAAGCGGGCGGAUCAUUUGAGGUCAGGAGUUUGAGACCAGCCCGGCCAACAUGGUGAAACCCUGUCUCUACUAAAAAUACAAAAACAAUUAGCUGGGCAUGGUGGUGGGUGCUUGUAAUCCCAGCUACUGGGGGAGGCUGAGGCGGGAGAAUCGCUGAAACCCAGGAGACAGAAGUUGCUGUGAGCCGAGACCACACCACUGCACUCCAGCCUGGGUGAGAGUGAGACUGUCUCAAAAAAAAAAAAAAAAAAAAAAAAAAAGCAAGAAAGCUCCCAUUUAGAUCACUCGGACAAAAGAUUUCUUUUUGUGCCAAAAUGUUCCACUAGGCUUCCAGUUUUUACCACAUAACUUGACAGUCAUGCAAGACUUAAGUGUAUUUUCAGCUAUCCUUUCUCUUUCAUUUAUUUCUGUUUAAUAAGCUCUGUCCAUUGAUUCUAGUUAGUACAUUAUAUAUCUUUUUAAUCACUUACCUGCAGUGAGCAUCUUUCCAUGUUGGUAAAUACCGGUGCUACUACUGUUACUACUGAGUACUUAUUCCAUGUCAAAUCCUCUGCCAAGCAUUUUCAAGCAUUGUCUCAUUGCCUUCUUGCCACAACCCUAUGAAGAGGCCGUGACUGUCCUCAUCCAAUGGAGGAGGAAGCUAAGGCUGAGAGCAAUUAACACAGCUGUGAGUGAACAGGUAGGAUUUAAAGCCAGGCAGUAUGAUUCCGGAGCCUACGCUUUUAAUCACUGUUAUUUUACUCUCCUCCACUCCCCAAAUAUACUGCAUUUUUUUUGUGUGAUUGUAUUGUAUUAUUCUGUUCUAGAUGUACUAUGAUUGAUUUCGUCCAUGCUGUAAUUACACUUCGGUUGGUUUUAGUUUUCACUACUACAAAUGGUGUUGCAACGAACGUCUUUGUGGGCAAAUCUUUACAGGUCAUGAAUGACCCUUUCCUUAGGACACAUAUUGCCAAGCUGAUCUCCACAAAGGUAGUACACGCCCAUCAUAUUGUACAAAAGUAUUCUUUGCCCUCCACCCUUGACACUGGGUUGCAUCUAUUUUUUAAUUAUUGCUGUUAGGAUAGAAGAACAAGGCUGACACAUUGUUGUUUCAGUUUGUAAGCUAGAACACUUCAUUGCACAUUAGCUGUAUUCCUUAGGUGUAUUUCUUGUUCAUGUCCUUUGCCCUCUGAGGUUUGUCUCUUUAUCACAGAUUUGAGAACUUUUUGUAUAUGUCUUAUAUUUUUAGAAUUAAUAAAUUUAGGGCAUAAACCCAAUAGAA